UCACAGCGUUUGAGAUGUAUUGUUGUCAGAUGUUCUGCAAUGUCCUGCACCAUGCAUAACAAUGCAAAAUCAUUAAGUCUCAGAGGUAUGUUACAAGGAUGGGGAAGGGAGAAAAGAUGCGGCGUGAGACAGGGGAACAGUUGCACCGUCUAGCCAUCUAGUUUACAUUAGUAGAACAAAGAAAUGUGGUCUUUACUUUGAGUAUUUUGAGUAUUCUGAACAAAUUUGUCAAGGAGACUUCAAGGUUAUUAGGUUGCAGGUC